rnacentral:rRNA from 1 species
GACGAACGCUGGCGGCGUGCCUAAUACAUGCAAGUCGAACGCAUUUGCGAACGGGUGAGUAUCGCGUAUGUAACUGCCUCCUAGCGGGGGAUAACUCUUGGAAACGCUAGCUAAUACCCCAUACUGUGAGAUGGACCUGCGUUGUAUUAGGUAGUUGGUGGGGUAAAGGCUCACCAAGGCGACGAUCCAUAGCCGGCCUGAGAGGAUGAACGGCCACAUUGGGACUGAGACACGGCCCAGACGCCUACGGGAGGCAGCAGGAGGGAAUCUUCGGCAAUGGACGGAAGUCUGACGAAGCAACGCCGCGUGAGUGAAGAAGGUCUUCGGAUCGUAAAGCUCUGUUGUUAGGGAAGCGGUAACUAAACAGAAAGGGACGGCUAACUACGUGCCAGCAGCCGCGGUAAUAC